rnacentral:rRNA from 1 species
GAUGAACGCUGGCGGCGUGCCUAAUACAUGCAAGUCGAGCGAACGGACGAGAAGCUUGCUUUUUUGACGUUAGCGGCGGACGGGUGAGUAACACGUGGAUAACCUACUUAUAAGACUGGGAUAACUUCGGGAAACCGGCGCUAACACCGGAUAAUAUCUUGAACCGCAUGGUUCAAAAGUGAAAGACGGUCUUGCUGUCACUAAUAGAUGGAUCCGCGCUGCAUUAGCUAGUUGGUAAGGUAACGGCUUACCAAGGCAACGAUGCAUAGCCGACCUGAGAGGGUGAUCGGCCACACUGGACCUGAGACACGGUCCAGACUCCUGCGGGAGGCAGCAGUAGGGUAUGUUCCGCAAUGGGCGAAAGCCUGACGGAGCGGCGCCGCGUGAGUGGUGAAGGUCUUCGGAUCGUAAAGCUCUGUUAUUGGGGAAGAACAUAUGUGUAAGUAACUGUACACAUCUUGACGGUACCUAGUCAGAAAGCCACGGCUAACUACGUG